rnacentral:rRNA from 1 species
GAUGAACGCUAGCGGCAGGCCUAACACAUGCAAGUCGAGGGGUAGAGUUAGCUUGCUAACUUGAGACCGGCGCACGGGUGCGUAACGCGUAUGCAAUCUACCUUAUACAGAGGGAUAGCCCAGAGAAAUUUGGAUUAAUACCUCAUAGUAUUAUUGAAUGGCAUCAUUUGAUAAUUAAAGUUCCAACGGUAUAAGAUGAGCAUGCGUCCCAUUAGUUAGUUGGUAAGGUAACGGCUUACCAAGACUAUGAUGGGUAGGGGUCCUGAGAGGGAGAUCCCCCACACUGGUACUGAGACACGGACCAGACUCCUACGGGAGGCAGCAGUGAGGAAUAUUGGACAAUGGGCGCAAGCCUGAUCCAGCCAUGCCGCGUGCAGGAAGACGGUCCUAUGGAUUGUAAACUGCUUUUAUACAGGAAGAAACACCGCUACGUGUAGCGGCUUGACGGUACUGUAAGAAUAAGGAUCGGCUAACUCCGUGCCAG